GAUGACUUUAAAAAGAAACCAGCUCAAGAAAGGCAUAGGAAGGAGCUCUGCAGUAAGGGAGGAAGAAAGCAGAGCAAAGAGAAGAAAUAUAAAACAGGAUGGUUCGUGCUGCUUAUUCUCAGUGGAGCUAGAGAUACAGAGGUAAACAAUUUUUCAGUAUGCCCUGUACCAGGCCAGGUACUGUUCAGAGCCUGAUGUCCACACUCUCACCACACCGAGGGUGACCUGCUAGACCCGUCAGAGGAUGAGCAGGAGGAGGCUGAGGGCCAGUGUCUUUUUGGGAGUCAGGAACACAAUGACAGCCAGCUGGAGUGCCAGCUGCUACAACAGAGCCCGAUUCCUGCCCUGCAUCGGUUGAGCCCAACUCCCAGCCAUAAACGCAGGCCAGGACCGAAGAGCUAGAUCCCCUGGAGGGAACUUUGGCAUCACCUGCCACAGACAAUCAAGGUCAAGUCCUCUAUCUACUGCUGACAGGGUGGCCAACCUGAGUGGGAGAGAAGUUUGUAGAACCCAUAGUAGUGUAAACCAAGCUGGCUGAGAGGGUAUAUGAGGAUCAAAGAGAAGAAAGAAAUGCAGUUCUCCCAGGAGAAGGACAGUGUUUUAGUGACCAGGGAAAAUGUAGCUGUGGCCAAGGACAGCAUCACCACAAUAAAGGAGAGCAUGGAAAAAGAGAUGCAGAGGCAACUCAUGGACUCUAUCCUGAACCAGAAUGUCUACCUGCAAAACAUGCUCCUGGUAGGCCAGCAGGCUCUGCAGUCCCAUAAUUUGGGACCCAGUCAUGUCCUUCAGCCUGUGGACAGUGCUGGCUACUUGGACCAGCAGCAUCUCCCACAGCAGGGCUCCUAACAGCUCCCAUUCACCUCUGAGAUCCAGCCUUUGGGCAUUGGGAAUGCUUGUGCUCUUACACACCUGAGAAUUUUGCGCUAUGGCACGCCACCCCAGGAACCCAGGUGGACAAGAAUAGCCAGAUGUAAGGCAUAUUCAUCCAUUAUGAAUAUCACUGUACUCAACACAGGGAAUCUUUUAAAUAAAGCUGAAAUAAUUCAAAGUUGUUUCACAAAAGCACAUAGGAACAUUAAACUUUAACCACCUCCACACAAUACCCCAGUGCUUGCAAUGUCUGCCUCCCAUCCUCCCAUGGGCUAACAUGUUCAGGCAUGAGACUCAGCAUACCAGCAGUUGGCAUCCCUGACAUCAUCCCCUGUGAGUUUGUGUCCUCUGUGGGAUGCCUUGCUGACUGCUUGAACCUUCGAGCAAGUUUCUGGACCUUAGCC